rnacentral:rRNA from 1 species
UGUACCUUAGGAAUAAGCAUCGGCUAACUCCGUGCCAGCAGCCGCGGUAAUACGGAGGAUGCGAGCGUUAUCCGGAUUUAUUGGGUUUAAAGGGUGCGUAGGUGGAUUGGUCAGUCAGCGGUGAAAUCUCGGAGCUUAACUCUGAAACUGCCGUUGAAACUUCCAAUCUUGAGUGUGAACGAGGUAGGCGGAAUUCGUAGUGUAGCGGUGAAAUGCAUAGAUAUUACGAAGAACUCCGAUAGCGCAGGCAGCUUACCAGGCCACAACUGACACUGAUGCACGAAAGUGUGGGUAUCAAACAGGAUUAGAUACCCUGGUAGUCCACACAGUAAACGAUGAAUACUAACUGUUUGCGAUAUACAGUAAGCGGUACAGCGAAAGCGUUAAGUAUUCCACCUGGGGAGUACGCCGGCAACGGUGAAACUCAAAGGAAUUGACGGGGGCCCGCACAAGCGGAGGAACAUGUGGUUUAAUUCGAUGAUACGCGAGGAACCUUACCCGGGCUCGAACGGCUAGUGAGUAUGGAUGAAAGUUCAUAGUCAGCAAUGACACUAGUCGAGGUGCUGCAUGGUUGUCGUCAGCUCGUGCCGUGAGGUGUCGGCUUAAGUGCCAUAACGAGCGCAACCCUUAUCUUUAGUUACCAUCAGGUUAAGCUGGGGACUCUAGAGAGACUGCCACCGUAAGGUGUGAGGAAGGUGGGGAUGACGUCAAAUCAGCACGGCCCUUACGUCCGGGGCUACACACGUGUUACAAUGGGGGGGACAAAGGGCAGCUACCGGGCGACCGGAUGCUAAUCUCCAAACCCUCUCCCAGUUCGGAUCGAAGUCUGCAACCCGACUUCGUGAAGCUGGAUUCGCUAGUAAUCGCGCAUCAGCCAUGGCGCGGUGAAUACGUUCCCGGGCCUUGUACACACCGCCCGUCAAGCCAUGAAAGCCGGGGGUACCUGAAGUACGUAACCGUAAGGAGCGUCCUAGGGUAAAACUGGUAAUUGGGGCUAAGUCGUAACAAGGUA